rnacentral:rRNA from 1 species
GACGAACGCUGGCGGCGUGCUUAACACAUGCAAGUCGAACGGAAAGGCCCUGCUUUUGUGGGGUGCUCGAGUGGCGAACGGGUGAGUAACACGUGAGUAACCUGCCCUUGACUUUGGGAUAACUUCAGGAAACUGGGGCUAAUACCGGAUAGGAGCUCCUGCUGCAUGGUGGGGGUUGGAAAGUUUCGGCGGUUGGGGAUGGACUCGCGGCUUAUCAGCUUGUUGGUGGGGUAGUGGCUGACCAAGGCUUUGACGGGUAGCCGGCCUGAGAGGGUGACCGGCCACAUUGGGACUGAGAUACGGCCCAGACUCCUACGGGAGGCAGCAGUGGGGAAUAUUGCACAAUGGGCGGAAGCCUGAUGCAGCAACGCCGCGUUCGGGAUGACGGCCUUCGGGUUGUAAACCGCUUUCGCCUGUGACGAAGCGUGAGUGACGGUAAUGGGUAAAGAAGCACCGGCUAACUACGUG